AUGGUUGGUUUUCAUCAAACCCAACGCAAACCCGGGAAACCUCUGCUUCCAAAUCAGGAAAAGAGUUAAACCCCGAGUCCCUAGCCCUCUCCCUCGAAUUUUUCCAGUACUUUCUCAAUUAAACAAUUCUGCACUGCCAAAUGCCAAUCACUCGGUUGCCUCAGCAGCAAAAAAACUUCCGGAAAAGGAAUCCUCAACCUCAUGAUUUUUAUGACCAAGGUUCACUCAUAUCAUCAUUAUACGUCACUGUUUUGACUAGAAUAAUCAAAACAAUUCCGCACGAUUUUGGCCAUUUUUCGUCCCAGACAGACGAGUCUGGAUUCAUCAUCAUUUUCAUUUGGACUGUCAAUAUAUAGAAAACGACUUUCAGACAUCGUACAGUUCAAAGUGAAGUUGGAUUUUUAUUGAAUAGACUGCACCGAAGAACAGAAGAGACAAAGCAAAAAUCAAAAUCUUGACCUCCAUCUU